rnacentral:lncRNA from 1 species
AUUUCUGUUAGUGAAUCUUUAAUAUGGGACUGUAUGAGAUGACUUUUUGCUUUUCUUUCUGUGCAGGUCAACUUUGUAGUGUGCCAGCUGUUUGCCUUGCUUGCAGCUAUCUGGUUUCGAACAUACCUUCAUUCAAGCAAAACCAGCCCAUUUAUAAGACAUGUUGUUGCAACCCUCUUGGGCCUUUAUCUUGCACUUUUUUGUUUUGGAUGGUAUGCCUUACAUUUUGUUAUACAAAGUGGAAUUUCCUACUAUAUCAUGAUCAUAAUAGGAAUUGAAAAUAUGCACAAUGUACUUCCACUGGAUCCUAAAAGUCUCUGCUCUACAAGGUUCCUGCCUUUGCAGUUUUACUGAGAGGUCCUGGAACCUUUUGCAGCUAUUGCUUCUAGGAGGUUAGUCUGGGCAAUACAUGGUAGGUUAAAGAUGAAAAACCUACUUCAAAAAACA